UUCAACCUCAAAAAGAUAGUAAAACCUUCUUAUUUAUAAAAUCACUGAUAAAAAAACAAUGAAACAUUUUGCGUCAAUCAAAAAUCUUCAUUGUGUCAUUCAUCUAAGCAAAAAAUAUAAAUACAAAAAAAAUCAUAAAAAAACAAAAUUGAAACAAUGUGAAAAGCUGAAUAUGCCUAUUAAAUUUUACGCAUUCUAAAACUUUAAAAGACGCUUUUUCACAAUUACCAAAGUAUAUAUUGUAAAUAGCUCUCAAUCAUGCCGAAAUACAAGGAAUACGAUAUAUGCGAAGGCCGUAUAUCUAGGAAGAUCUUCAGUUGGAAGGAAGUCUUCACAGUAUUCUGUUCUUACCUCUUCUUCAUCGUGGGCCGUGGUAUUCCUAUCCUAUGCUACUGUUCCCUCGGGAUCGUCUACUUAUUCAGUCAAAUACCCUUUUGUAUCAUUUUCUGCGGUUAAGAUUGUCUGAUUUUAAUCUGUCAAUGUAUUUGGUAUAAUUUAUUUGGUAAAAGUAAAGUUCAGUUUAAAGCC